CACCACCACCAGCAUCGCCAUGGUUGCAUCAGUUAAGUUCUAGAAAGUACCAGGAGAGAUGGGUUUUCACCAUGCUGACUCGGCUGGUCCUGAACUCCUGGCCUCAAGUGAUCCGCCCUCCUCAUCCUCCUAAAGUGCUGGGAUUACAGGCGUGAGCCACCACGCCCGGCCCAGGGUCAGUUAUUACCCCCAUUACUUAACACAUAAAGAGGCCAAGUCUUGGAGAGAAGAACUCGCUGGCCCAAGGCUUCGCUGAGAAGGAAGGAUUUGAACCCUAGCACUCUGGCGACAGUGGCCCCUGACUGACAGUUGUCCUGCCCCCAGCCCCAAACUUCUGAUCAUACAGAUAAUUCCACAGAUGAAAGAGUGGGGCAACCAGCACCUGAAUGGAAGGCACAGCGCCACGGUCCCAUCUAGGCUCUAUCACCAGCUGGUGGCGCAUCUUAGCCCCAUCUCCUUCCCCUCUCCAGGCCUCAGUUUGCCCAACUGUAAAACAAGAAGUGGGGGUAGUUGGUCUGGGUAAUCUCCGAAGUCCUCCCAGAUCUGGGGUUCUGCAACACUGGGUGUCUACUGUCAUUUUGUCACAAACUUUGCCCAGGGCUCCGACUCUCGCAUCAGCUAAACCCUCUGAACCCACCACCAGCUCUGCGUGGACGGUCAGCCUGUGGGGUGAGUGCUGGUGACUCGGCGUGGAGGGAGGUAUAGGCCUGCCCGAUGCCUGUCCGUAUCUCAG
rnacentral:lncRNA from 1 species